GGAAAAUUGGCAGAGUGGCUGAUCGCGCCGGUUCGCUAAACCGGUAACGCUAAAAGGCGUUCGAAGGUUCGAAUCCUUCAUUUUCCG
rnacentral:tRNA from 1 species